GUGCACCAGGCGAGAAACUUUACAAUGUGCGAAAGCACGAUAAGGGAACUCUGAGUGCCUCCUAAGGAGGCUGUUCAGGUGUCUAAAAGCACCUGGAGUAAGGGCUGGGUAAGACCGGUGCCAGCCGCCGCGGUAACACCGGCAGCCCAGGUGGUAGCCACUUUUAUUGGGUCUAAAGCGUCCGUAGCCGGUUGAGUAAGUUCCUUGGGAAAUUUGGCUGCUCAACAGUCAAGCUUCCAGGGAAUACUGCUCGACUUGGGACUGGGAGAGGUCAGAGGUACUCCAGGGGUAGGGGUGAAAUCCAUUAAUCCCUGGGGGACCACCGGUAGCGAAGGCGUCUGACCAGACCAGGUCCGACGGUGAGGGACGAAGGCUAGGGGGCGCGAACCGGAUUAGAUACCCCC
rnacentral:rRNA from 1 species